rnacentral:rRNA from 1 species
ACCGGAGGAAGGUGGGGAUGACGUCAAAUCAUCAUGCCCCUUAUGAUUUGGGCUACACACGUGCUACAAUGGACAAUACAAAGGGCAGCGAAACCGCGAGGUCAAGCAAAUCCCAUAAAGUUGUUCUCAGUUCGGAUUGUAGUCUGCAACUCGACUAUAUGAAGCUGGAAUCGCUAGUAAUCGUAGAUCAGCAUGCUACGGUGAAUACGUUCCCGGGUCUUGUACACACCGCCCGUCACACCACGAGAGUUUGUAACACCCGAA